UACGUAGGCAGCAAGCGUUGUUCGGAGUUACUGGGCGUAAAGGGUGUGUAGGCGGUUUUUUAAGUUUGGUGUGAAAUCUCCCGGCUCAACUGGGAGGGUGCGCCGAAUACUGAAUGACUAGAGUGCGGGAGAGGAAAGUGGAAUUCCUGGUGUAGCGGUGAAAUGCGUAGAUAUCAGGAGGAACACCGGUGGUGUAGACGGCUUUCUGGACCGUAACUGACGCUGAGACACGAAAGCGUGGGUAGCAAACAGG
rnacentral:rRNA from 1 species